UGGGGAAUUUUGGACAAUGGGGGAAACCCUGAUCCAGCCAUCCCGCGUGUGCGAUGAAGGCCUUCGGGUUGUAAAGCACUUUUGGCAGGAAAGAAACGUCGCGGGUUAAUACCCCGCGAAACUGACGGUACCUGCAGAAUAAGCACCGGCUAACUACGUGCCAGCAGCCGCGGUAAUACGUAGGGUGCAAGCGUUAAUCGGAAUUACUGGGCGUAAAGCGUGCGCAGGCGGUUCGGAAAGAAAGAUGUGAAAUCCCAGAGCUUAACUUUGGAACUGCAUUUUUAACUACCGGGCUAGAGUGUGUCAGAGGGAGGUGGAAUUCCGCGUGUAGCAGUGAAAUGCGUAGAUAUGCGGAGGAACGCCGAUGGCGAAGGCAGCCUCCUGGGAUAACACUGACGCUCAUGCACGAAAGCGUGGGGAGCAAACAGGAUUAGAUACCCUGGUAGUCCACGCCCUAAACGAUGUCAACUAGCUGUUGGGGCCUUCGGGCCUUGGUAGCGCAGCUAACGCGUGAAGUUGACCGCCUGGGGAGUACGGUCGCAAGAUUAAAACUUAAAGGAAUUGACGGGGGUGCAUAGCUG
rnacentral:rRNA from 1 species